GACGAACGCUGGCGGCGUGCUUAACACAUGCCAGUCGAACGGAAAGGCCCUGCUUUUGUCGGGUGCCCGAGUGGCGAACGGGUGAGUAACACGUGAGUACCCUGCCCUGGACUUUGGGAUAACUUCAGGAAACUGGGGCUAAUACCGGAUAGGAGCUCCUGCUGCAUGGUGGGGGUUGGAAAGUUUUGGCGGUUGGGGAGGGACUCGCGGCUUAUCAGCUUGUUGGGGGGGUAGUGGCUUACCAAGGCUUUGACGGGUAGCCGGCCUGGGAGGGUGACCGGCCACAUUGGAAAUGGGAUGCGGCCCAGGCUCCUGCGGGAGGAAGGAGUGGGGAAUAUUGCACAAUGGGCGGAAGCGUGAUGCAGCAACGCCGCGUGGGAGAUGACGGCCUUCGGGUUGUAAACCGCUUUCGCCUGUGACGAAGCGUGAGUGACGGUAAUGAGUAAAGAAGCACCGGCUAACUACGU
rnacentral:rRNA from 1 species